AUCCUUUUGUGGUUCAUAAGUGUGAUGAUUGGUUUUCAUGUUGCUGUGUGAGAUGUGACUCCGUCAGACCUGAUUAGAGCAUCAUCUAGAUUCAUGAUA
ensembl:snoRNA